CCUACGGGAGGCAGCAGUGGGGAAUAUUGGACAAUGGGCGAAAGCCUGAUCCAGCAAUGCCGCGUGAGUGAUGAAGGCCUUAGGGUUGUAAAGCUCUUUUACCAGGGAUGAUAAUGACAGUACCUGGAGAAUAAGCUCCGGCUAACUCCGUGCCAGCAGCCGCGGUAAUACGGAGGGAGCUAGCGUUGUUCGGAAUUACUGGGCGUAAAGCGCGCGUAGGCGGCGAUUCAAGUCAGAGGUGAAAGCCCGGGGCUCAACCCCGGAACUGCCUUUGAAACUAGAUUGCUAGAAUCUUGGAGAGGUCAGUGGAAUUCCGAGUGUAGAGGUGAAAUUCGUAGAUAUUCGGAAGAACACCAGUGGCGAAGGCGACUGACUGGACAAGUAUUGACGCUGAGGUGCGAAAGCGUGGGGAGCAGACAGGAUUAGAUACCCUGGUAGUCCACGCCGUAAACGAUGAUAACUAGCUGUCCGGGCACUUGGUGCCCGGGUGGCGCNGCUACGACAUUAAGUUAUCCGUCCGUCGGGUAGGUACGGUCGCGAGAGUUAAACGUACGUAAAGGUAAAGUUAGUUACGGCGUGAGACGUGCCGACGGACGACGACGAGGGAGGAGG
rnacentral:rRNA from 1 species